CCUCCGACCCAAACACACCCACAGCGUCUCUCGCUUCAAGGCUCCUCCGUUCCAGCGGCUUCUGUUCCGCAGCGCUCCCCCAAGAAGAGCCCGUGGGAAGCCCACGGGGGUCCCCCAAAGCAGCCCAGUGCCUCCCGUGCGCUCAGGGAGCCCGGCAGGGCUCGGAUUGCCCGUGCAGGGACUCGGGAGCGCCCGGCCCGAGCGCAGGAGGGGAACUGCUCUCGCAGCCCCAGCAGCGUCCCUGCUUGCUCAAGGCCACCAGAGAUUUUUUUAUUAAUGCGUUUUCCAGUCAACGGGAAAAAUUAAAGGGAGAAAACCGUAAAUGCAAUUCAGUGACGGCAGGCGGAGGGAGAAAAGAAAAAGUCUGGCGAUUAAAAAGUAUUUAAAGCACAUUGCGAGCCCUCUCCUUCACGCCUCCCAGCACGGAGCGUGAGCCGAGGGGGACAGGAGCGAGCGGUGCGGGAGUCCUUUCCCUGCCUCCUCUCACAGCGCGAGCUCCUCGCUGAGAUGUUAAACCCCCUCAGAGCGCGGGGGGGGGACACCCCCCAACUGAUUAAAAUGUCAAAACCUCACAAGAAUUGUCGGAACAGCCGAAUUUACCGCUCCGGUGGCACAGCAAACACAACCCCUCAGCCCACAGCCUUUAAAUCUCGCUCCAGACCCGGGAGCCCCUGGCUGCGAUUCUGCCUCUCGUUCAAAGCGGAGCGAGCAGCAGCCGAGAAACGCGCGUUUUCCUUUUUCCGGGAAAAGCCGAACCCUUCCAAAGGAGCCGGGCAAAGGAGACAAUACCCGCCUGUCCUGCUGCCCCCUCCCCCGCCCUGGCCAAAAGAGCCACUUCGGAGCUCAGCAUGCGACAGCCGGGGCGGCCCUUCUGCCCACAAACGGGGACACAGCAGAGCGGGAGAGGAGGGGGAACCCAAAAACAAAAGUGUCAAGGCAGGACGGCGCCCUGCCCGAGGUGGAGAGCGUUACCUUGUCCAGUGCCAGUCGUGUCCAGGCUUUUUGUUUCCCCCGUCCUUAGUUCGGCCACGGGGAAGGGGAUGAGGGGAAGCAAAAUGAUAUCCAAAGUUAUCCUGCCCCUUCCAAAAGGGAAAUGCAAUAAUGGCACCAGUGUUUCUCCCCGGCUGCGGCAGAGAUGCUUUAUUAAUACUUUAUUUCUCCAAGCCCGAGGCUGGCAGGAGAGAGCCGCAGAUCCCCCUUGCCCCUCCCUCCCCUCCCUCCCCCUCCUCUGAAAUUAGCCUCAUCAAUUCAGCUACAAGUUUGCAGUUCGGAUGCAGACACGGGGCUGAACGUGACCAGACCCGGAGGUUUUUGGCUCGCUGCUCGCCGGCGCUGAGGGGGGCGCAGGGACAGCCCCGCAGCCGCGGCCUCUCCUGUCUGCUCCGCGCUCCGGGGUCUGCGCGGGGUCCCCCGAGAGCAGCACAUCUGGAUGCUGCUAGCGGGGUCAGGUCCCCCCUUGCCUAGGGCCACAAAACUGGAGUUCAAUUAAGAGAAAUCGCGGUU